AACGAACGCUGGCGGCAUGCCUAACACAUGCAAGUCGAACGAAGGCUUCGGCCUUAGUGGCGCACGGGUGCGUAACGCGUGGGAAUCUGCCCUUUGCUUCGGAAUAACAGUUAGAAAUGACUGCUAAUACCGGAUGAUGUCGCAAGACCAAAGAUUUAUCGGCCAAGGAUGAGCCCGCGUAGGAUUAGCUAGUUGGUGGGGUAAAGGCCUACCAAGGCGACGAUCCUUAGCUGGUCUGAGAGGAUGAUCAGCCACACUGGGACUGAGACACGGCCCAGACUCCUACGGGAGGCAGCAGUGGGGAAUAUUGGACAAUGGGCGGAAGCCUGAUCCAGCAAUGCCGCGUGAGUGAUGAAGGCCUUAGGGUUGUAAAGCUCUUUUACCCGGGAUGAUAAUGACAGUACCGGGAGAAUAAGCUCCGGCUAACUCCGUG
rnacentral:rRNA from 1 species